rnacentral:rRNA from 1 species
GACGAACGCUGGCGGCGUGCUUAACACAUGCCAGUCGAACGGAAAGGCCCUGCUUUUGUGGGGUGCUCGAGUGGCGAACGGGUGAGUAACACGUGAGUAACCUGCCCUUGACUUUGGGAUAACUUCAGGAAACUGGGGCUAAUACCGGAUAGGAGCUCCUGCUGCAUGGUGGGGGUUGGAAAGUUUCGGCGGUUGGGGAUGGACUCGCGGCUUAUCAGCUUGUUGGUGGGGUAGUGGCUUACCAAGGCUUUGACGGGUAGCCGGCCUGAGAGGGUGAACGGCCACCUUGGGACUGAGAUACGGCCCAGACUCCUACGGGAGGCAGCAGUGGGGAGUAUUGCACAGUGGGCGGAAGCCUGAUGCAGCAACGCCGCGUGCGGGAUGACGGCCUUCGGGUUGUAAACCGCUUUCGCCUGUGACGAAGCGUGAGUGACGGUAAUGAGUAAAGAAGCACCGGCUAACUACGUG